CAGUGCUCUCAACCUAGCGGCCACUGCACAAUACAAAGAUGGCGCAAAGAUGCAAGGCAGGAAUCGCUAGUGCAUAGACCGAUAUCAAUCGCGUUUCGGACAACUAUCGGAUGCACACCCGCUGUAAAUCUACGAACUGAACUCCGAACAGUUAUAAGCAGUUACAAGUUACAAGCGCGUCUGACGACUGACGUCACAUCGAUAUGUCAACCAGUGCAUUCUUGGAAAUAGAGCCGUGAAGUUGACGACUUGCCGCGAGAUGCCGUUGCGGCGCCAUUUUCAAAAGCGUCAUUAGUUCUUAUUUUAUACAUUUCGUAAAUUUAUCUCUAUUUCUUGUCGGUAUUUACAUUAUCAAAGUUAUUUUUCUAAUAAAUAAAAGUUAAAAUAUUUAGUGUACUUUUGGUACGACGUGAAUUAAAUGCUAUAAUUGUUGUUGUUUAAAAUUUCCUGUAAUUUAAUAAGUACAUUUUUUAUCGCAUCUACUUGCAAUGUGUUUUCUAUUAAAAUUCUAUAUCUGUAUCUUUGCUGUAUAUUACACUUUUCAAAAGAUUUCAUAUUUUUGUGAUUGAUAUGAGACGUCAUAACUCGUCUCAGUAAUUGUUUGACACGCGAAGAUUGCUUAAUUAAUAUCAGUCCCUGUAAAAAAUAUUUGCUAGAAAAAUCGCUUUAUUAAGGAAUUGACAAUGAUCGAUGACGAAGACGUACAUUUCGAGAAAACUGAGUGUCACUAAUUGAUAGUAUUGCUAACGUUGCAGUGCCGUAAUUGGUCUCGAGUGCGAUUGUGAUUAAUAGGAAAAACCGAACAUGUAAACUUGAAAAAAUUACUGAUUCUGAACGAAUAUGUUGACAAGAAUCGAUAACCUUAUUUAUCAUUACAUUUACAGAAAAUACGUCACUUUGAAAUGCGGAAACGUUUGACGUCAUAAGCUAACUAGAUUGCCUGACAUAUCGUAAUGAGAAGUCAGUUCUGAAAAGUUCUUGAAAAUGGAAAAACCGAUUAAUUUAUCGCUUCCCGUUAACGCCAUACAUAUUAAAGAGAUUACAAGUAUUAUAUAUUUUUACAUAAAAGAUUUCCUCAAAGAGAGAAAAGAACAUUAACUUUGAAAUUGUUUCAUUGAACUUACAGUGUAAGAAUUUUGAUGAAUACAUUACAAUACAAAAUAGUCUUGAUGGAAGAAUGAACAUUUAAAAAUAAAUUAUAAAAUACUUAAUUCCUAUCUUGAAAUUUGUUAAUUAAUUAAUGUAUAUAAUUAUUUAUUACAUGAUAGCUAAGUAUAAUUUCUAUUAUCAUUAAAAAGUUAGUUAAAACAUUGUGUAAACUACGUAAACAAUGUAGUUGUAAUUAAAUCUAUCAUUUAUUAUCGCAAUAUGUUUCAACAACAAUAUAUAUUGGUGGUAUAUUAUAUCAUUAUUUCGGAUUACUCAACAAUUACUCAAGAUAUAACAGACAUAUACAAAGUUGGGUUUAUAUCUGAAUUACAAUAAAUAUAUGAAGCUCGUACAAGUAACUGUUCAAUUCAGUCAAAUUAAUGUAUAUUU